ACGCUGGCGGCAGGCCUAACACAUGCAAGUCGAGCGGUAGAGAGAAGCUUGCUUCUCUUGAGAGCGGCGGACGGGUGAGUAAUGCCUAGGAAUCUGCCUGGUAGUGGGGGAUAACGUUCGGAAACGGACGCUAAUACCGCAUACGUCCUACGGGAGAAAGCAGGGGACCUUCGGGCCUUGCGCUAUCAGAUGAGCCUAGGUCGGAUUAGCUAGUUGGUGAGGUAAUGGCUCACCAAGGCGACGAUCCGUAACUGGUCUGAGAGGAUGAUCAGUCACACUGGAACUGAGACACGGUCCAGACUCCUACGGGAGGCAGCAGUGGGGAAUAUUGGACAAUGGGCGAAAGCCUGAUCCAGCCAUGCCGCGUGUGUGAAGAAGGUCUUCGGAUUGUAAAGCACUUUAAGUUGGGAGGAAGGGUUGUAGAUUAAUACUCUGCAAUUUUGACGUUACCGACAGAAUAAGCACCGGCUAACUCUGUGCCAGCAGCCGCGGUAAUACAGAGGGUGCAAGCGUUAAUCGGAAUUACUGGGCGUAAAGCGCGCGUAGGUGGUUAGUUAAGUUGGAUGUGAAAUCCCCGGGCUCAACCUGGGGAACUGCAUUCAAAACUGACUGACUAGAGUAUGGUAGAGGGGUGGUGGAAUUUCCUGUGUAGCGGUGAAAUGCGUAGAUAUAGGAAGGAACACCAGUGGCGAAGGCGACCACCUGGACUGAUACUGACACUGAGGUGCGAAAGCGUGGGGAGCAAAC
rnacentral:rRNA from 1 species